CCCUCUGUCAGCUUCUCACCUUGUGCUAUUCGUGGGUUUGGAAUACGUUUACUGCAAAACAUACAGAGAUGUUUACCAUGAGCAAAACUCUGAUGUGGCUUGAAGACGUACGCUGAAUCGAAGGAAUAGAGAGUGCAGAGGGAGCUUGGUCAUAGCCCAGGGAGAAGAGAGCAGAGCUGGCCAAGUGAGGCUGACGCAACAUGAGUGGUGGGCAGACACAAUGCUAGGCCUCUGAACCAGAUGAGAGUGGGGCACCUCUUCACAAUAUGGCCCUGCACCCAGGAGCGACAUGGGGACAGACGCUUCAGAAGCUUGAUAUAAACACCCCACCAGCAUUAAAAUUCUUGCAUGUCUAAUGCUGGGCUUGCAGCAGACAGAGCCUGGCCAGAGGGUGUGUGAACUGGGCAGUAAUAUUCAGCACGGACUUUUUGAUUUAUUAAUCUGUGUAGACUUCAUUUGAUAUUGCAGCAUGGAGCAUUGAUAUUUGGAGGCCUAUGUUUGAGACCUGGCCUCACUGGUUCUGGACAGAGCUGCUCAGGGCACUGUAUAUGUGUCAUUGUGAGGCAUUCACAUAUUUGCUAACUGCAACAACAGACAAAGCCUUAGUCACUUCUAAAAGUAAUAAUUUUUUACAUUAUUAGGUCUACAAAAUUUCAGAUUUUUUUUAUUUUCCUGGUCUACAAAACUAGGGUCAUGAAUGGUGAGUUGUCUUUUCCUGAAAAUGUAACAGAAUUAACCCUUAGAAGUCUUACUACUCUCAUUUUGCUAUACACUUUCAAAGUAAUUAAAUAUUCAUGUGAUUAA